rnacentral:rRNA from 1 species
AUGCGGCAGGUGGCAGAUGCCCUCCGGCACGUCGCCACUGAGGCGGUUGUGACCAAGGUCGAGCUGCUCGAUGCUGUGGAGGUUGGCGAGCUCGGCGGGGAUGGCGCCCAUGAGCUGGUUGUGGCUGACGUCGAGCACGGUGAGGGCGGUGAGCAUGCCGAGCUCCGGGGGGACGCAGGACUUGAGCCCGGUGUUCAUGAGUAUGAUCUCGUUGAGCGUGCCGGACAUGUUGGCGACGGAGGCCGGGAGGCAGCCGCCGAAGUCGUUGUUGGCGAGCACGAGGACAGACGCCGGCGAGUUGCCGACGUUGUCGGGGAUCUGGAAGCGGAAGCGGUUGGAGUUGAUGAAGAUGGCGUCGAGCGGGAGGUCGAAGAGCUCUUUGGGCACGGGGCCCUCGAACUCGUUGUAGCGGAGGUCGAGGUACCUGAGGCUGGGCAGGCGGAGCACGACGUCGGGGAAGGCGCCGACGAGGCGGUUGUUGCUGAGGUCGAGCUCGUGGAGGAGGUGCAUGGCGUGGAAGGAGGCCGGCACGAGGCCGCAGAAGCGGUUGGAGUUGACGUGGAAGACGGAGAGGUCGGCGAGCCUGCCGAGCGCCUCCGGGAGGUGGCCGGCGAGGUCGGCGUGGUUGAGGUCGACGGCGGCGACGACGGUGAGGUAGUGGUCCGCCUGGGACGGCGCGCAGAAGACGCCGUAGUAGGAGCAGACGUCGGGGCCGGACCAGGAGGCGGUGAGGUUGCGCGGGUCGGAGAGGAUGGCGCGCUUCCAGGCCUGCAGCGCGACGUAGGCGUCGCGGAGGCGCGGGUUGGCGAAGGCGUAGGACGGGUCGACCAAGACGUCGCUGCCGUCGUCGGCGCCGUGGCUCUGGAGCAGCCGGCGCUGGUGGCCGGGCGUAGCCGCGGCGAGGUGCGGGACGAGGAGCAGCGCGAGGAAGAGGAGGGUGGUCGCCAUUGCCGUCUGUGUGCGCAUGGUAGCCCGCGGCGGGCUGUGUGUGGUGUGGCGUGGAUGGAUGCUCAUGGGUUUGAGGGGGGGGUGGGUUCAUAUGGGGGAGCAGGGGAGGCCAAAUCGCGGCGCGGGAAUAGAAUAAUGGCGCGUUGA